UAAUACGGAGGGUCCAAGCGUUGUUCGGAAUCAUUGGGCGUAAAGCGGGUGUAGGCGGCUUGGCAAGUCGGAUGUGAAAUCCCAGGGCCCAACCCUGGAACUGCAUUCGAAACUGCUUCGCUAGAGUCCCGGAGAGGAUGGCGGAAUUCCCGGUGUAGGGGUGAAAUCCGUAGAUAUCGGGAGGAACACCAGUGGCGAAGGCGGCCAUCUGGACGGUGACUGACGCUCAGACCCGAAAGCGUGGGGAGCAAACAGGAUUAGAUACCCUGGUAGUCCACGCCGUAAACGUUGAGUGCUCGUCGUCGCGGGUAUUGACCCCUGCGGUGACCAAGCUAACGCAAGAAGCACUCCGCCUGGGGAGUACGGUCGCAAGACUA
rnacentral:rRNA from 1 species